AAUAAGUGCAGUUUUACACUGUUCAUAUCCAACGUUUGACCGUUCAUCUUAUUUGAAAAAAUUUAUGAUUAAUAUUUUUAUUAUUAUUAGAUGAUAAAAUAAGAAUAAUAUUUUAUGUGUGACUAAUUUUUUUAUUUUUUCAUAAAUUUUUCAAAUCAUACGGACGGUCAAACGUUGAAUAUCCACGGCUGUACUUAUU
rfam:Oryza punctata chromosome 10, whole genome shotgun sequence.